rnacentral:rRNA from 1 species
GAUGAACGCUGACAGAAUGCUUAACACAUGCAAGUCUACUUGAUUCUACUUCGGUAGUUGAUGGUGGCGGACGGGUGAGUAACGCGUAAAGAAUCUGCCCUUUAGUUUGGGAUAACCUUUGGAAACGAAGGCUAAUACCGGAUAUUAUGGAGACGGCGCAUGACGACUCCAUGAAAGCUAUAUGCGCUAGAGGAGGACUUUGCGUCCCAUUAGUUAGUUGGUGGGGUAAUGGCUCACCAAGACCGCGAUGGGUAGCCGGCCUGAGAGGGUGAUCGGCCACAAGGGAACUGAGACACGGUCCUUACUCCUACGGGAGGCAGCAGUGGGGAAUAUUGGACAAUGGGCCACAAGCCUGAUCCAGCAAUUCUGUGUGCACGAUGAAGGUCUUCGGAUUGUAAAGUGCUUUCAGUAGGGAAGAAAAAAAUGACGGUACCUACAGAAGAAGCGACGGCUAAAUAUGUGCCAGCAGCCGCAGUAA